rnacentral:rRNA from 1 species
UACGGAGGGUGCAAGCGUUAUCCGGAUUCACUGGGUUUAAAGGGUGCGUAGGCGGGCAGGUAAGUCAAUGGUGAAAUCUCCGAGCUUAACUCGGAAACUGCCAUUGAUACUAUUUGUCUUGAAUAUUGUGGAGGUAAGCGGAAUAUGUCAUGUAGCGGUGAAAUGCUUAGAUAUGACAUAGAACACCAAUUGCGAAGGCAGCUUACUACACAAUGAUUGACGCUGAGGCACGAAAGCGUGGGGAUCAAACAGG